CUUAACCACCAUGUCAUCUGCUGGCUCCAAAGUAUAAUGGUUUUCAAGACUUUCUCACUAUUAGCCCAGUCGUAACUGGUGACUUUAUAAUUUUGGCAGAAUCUGUUCUGAUAAAACACAUCCUUCCUUUCAUUUGGCUUCUCAACCCCAGUGUGUGUAACACACUGUUACUGAGUGCCUGGCACUGUGCUGACCCCUGGCGGAUUUGGUGCAAGCUCCCAUUCCAGAAAUACACUCGAGAGCUCAGAGGAUGUUAGUGUUAUGAAGAAAGUAAGAAACAAAACCAGUCAACCAGCUGAAAACCAGGGUGCUAGGACUGAUGGCCCCUGGGUGAGGGGGCUCAGCUUUGCUCACUGAGUCUUGCCUUUGAGUUGGGGAAGUCCAGCACAGAUUAAAGACAUUUGAGAAGGGAUUGUCCCCCUACAAAGUACUUUUAUCCCUGGCCUUGCUUGCAGAAGCUGUGGAGGGAUUGCUAUCCUCUUUCACAGAUGAGGAAGCUGAGGCUCAGAGCACCACUGUAACAUUGUGAGAGGAACCAGUUUCCCUAGGGCUCAAGAACAGCCAUGUCACUCUGAUGAGGGCCUAGGAGCUCCUUCUUGUUGCUAUCACCUGCAGUGAGAGCUAGUCCUGGGUGGUGGCCAAGUUUUGUGGCCACCUUUUUGCUUCUCAUGUCUCUGUUUUUCUUCCACUCCCAGCCGUUCCCCAAGGACCUCAUCUGUAUGAAGGUUUUAUCUGUCAGGCAUAUCUAAUGAGCAAUGAGUGAGGACUGGCCACUAGUCACUGGUUGAAUGCUGGAGCAUCUGAGUGUAGGAAGAUGCCUUGGUUCUUUGAAGCACAAAAGAUAACCUGGGACCCCAGCCACCCAGAACUGGGACCUUCCUGCUCAGCUCUGCAAACUCCAAUCCCCAGUGGCCAUGUAGGCUGGAGUGUUAGACGCUCAGAUCCCUUGUCUUGGGUUGUACUUGUGGGGCCAGCGAUUUAGAAGCUGUGGGCCUGGGAGAACGAGAGAGAGAAAGACAGGAGGAAGGAGAAGAAGCUGUGAAAGGGGGUGACUUCAGACACAGCCCCCUGUCCUUGAGAUCUCAAGGAGGAACUCUGGAGGCUGAGUUUGGCAAUCGAGUCUGUCCUGACCUGAGGCAGAAGAUCUGAGUUUCUCUCUUUCCUGUGGUCAGUCUUUAGCUAAGUGCCGACUGGGGAUGCUGUAAGCUCUGGGCUCCAGCCUUUGUGUGUUGAGGGGGCCUCCAUAGCUCAGGACGUCCCCUGGAGCAGUCAUGUUGGAAGCAAUAGGACAUUGAAGCUGGGGAGUGGAGGGUGCACAGGAAUUGGGGAAAGGGUUUAAGGCAUUGAGGUGGAUCAUGGAUUGUGGCCCCAACCCACCAUCUCUGUUAAUCAAGGCUGACUUGGGGAGUUUUCUCCCAAGAAUGGGGAGCAUCAUGCCUCCCACCCCCUCCACAUGCAGUGGGUGCUUAGUGAACUGAUACCUGCAAGGUGCUAGCCUGUCUCUUGUGCUUUAUCAUCACACUUAUUUUCUUGUGUGGGUACCAGCAGCCUAGCAUCCUUCUGGGUCCCUUGUGCCCCCUCAAGCAGUUUCUUCCCAGGAGAAGCUGGCCCUGGGGACAACCUAGAUACUGGAGGGUACCCAGUCCCUUCCUUUCCCAAAAGAUGUGCUGACCUCAUCCUUGCUGACUCCCAGAAGCCUGGAGAUGUCUGAGCAGGCAGGGGCCAUGUCUCCUUGACCCUGGGAGUCUCCUAUGUGUAGAUACCAUGUGACUGGGGGCAUUGUUGACUUUGUGUGUCUGAUCGUGUGCUUGGCAAAUAUGAAGAGUUUUGUCCAAGGCCACCUUGUCCCCACCUGCCCAGGUUGGGAGGGGCUUUGCUUGGUGUGGACAUGAGUCAGUGGCCAGGCUCUGGGCAGCAGCAGAGGGCCUCUGGCUUGAGCAGGCAGCUCCAGCUCCCGCAGGAUACCUCGCCUGGACACCUGGACUGCCCAGCGGCAGCCGGCGGAAGGUGAGCAUUGAGCCUUGCAUCCCAGCCCCCUGCCCCAGCCCUGUGGAAGGCCCCGUCUGGGGGAAAGCAGGCAUAUGGAACCCAUUUGGGAAAUUCUUUCUGCAUAAACCACUUUUUCCAGGACCUCACAGACCCUCCAAGCACUCGGAAAAUGUGCACUCGACAGAGAGGCUUUGAUUCCACACGCCUGGACAGCGUUAGGCCUGUUUCCAGGCCCGAGGCAAGUGGUGGUCAGAGUCCCAGGCGGCAGGCGGAGGGGCCUUGGAGACCAGGGUUUUCAAACCUCAUUGAGCGUCAGAGCUUUCCUUUCAUACCCAAUCACUUAUAGACU